GUAUAGGGCCUGAUCCAAAACCCACUGAAGUCAAUGGAAAGAUGCCCAUUGACUUCAAUGGACUUUGGAUCAGGUCCAUAC
rnacentral:pre_miRNA from 1 species